UUCGUCUCGAUCGAUAGAAUCAGAUUGACGCUCCUCUCCUGACCUCUCGUAUCUCUCGCAACCUAGAGUCCUAGACGAACCCUAGGACGUUGUGGCCAUCCCGCCGCCGCCGGUUUGCCAGCCCCCUCCACACCACCUCGCAUUCCUGUACCCCCUCCCCUCCCCUCCCUACAAGAUUGCAAUGUAACCCAUCGUUCUCCUCUCUCAGCAUCGUUGUCUCCGUCGGUCCACCGCCACUACCUCGUUGUCUUCCUCUGCGGCAGCGCUCGUUCCACUCAUUAUUUGCCGAAGGGCUCCCAUUGAAGGGAUCCCCGCGCCGGAGGAUGGCAGCGCGGUCACUGACGGAGAAGGGAGCGCGACCAUGGAUGGCCCGACGCCGACAGAUGCCAUCAUCGUUGGAGCCGGGGUAGCCGGAUCUGCCUUGGGACUACACGCUCGGAAAGGUGACAUAUUUAGAGGAUUUCAUGUUGUACACUUCUUUUCUUCAUUUCCCUUUGGGUCGCCCGUCCAGAGCGAUGGAUCCAUGGCGACCACGCUGGUUGGAGCAGCGCCUCGCCGGAUGGCUGGUCAAAGGGUCAGCUUGAUUUACACGAUCAGUUCGGUUGCAUGGCCCGGCAAUUCUUCUUCGUUCCUGCAUCUCCUCUUCCCCCAAUUCUUCUUCAAUAUACAUAUGAAAUUUGUUUUGUUUUGUUCACUGUUGUGCCGACAAGAAAAAGUGCAGGUUGUAUACAGGACGAUUCGAGCAACAUACCGCUCUGGGUCAAGCAGCACAUCAACUUACUCAUCUUGGCAAGCUAGCAAGGCUUGUACUUUUGCUUUACGGAUAUAGUAUAAAUUUUCAAUUUAUUUACCUAAUGCAUAAUUGCACUGUUCAUGAUUGUCAGGCUAACUCAAUCUUUGACGCUCCUGCAGAUAACAACAAUGUAAUCACUCAAAAAUACAACUAAAUACUCUGUCCUUGCUCAAGUUGUACUACACAAGCACUAACAACAAAGAACUUGAGGACAAGGACAGGGACAAUGGAACACAUACACCAUCUUCUGCCAAGGAACAAGAAGCACCAUCUUCUGACAUUGGUACUGCAACCAAAAAGAUUCACCAGAAGAAGUCCUAUAGAAGGCUGCAAGCCUGCAACUGAAACAAAUAAAUCGCCUUCAGCAAAAAAGAUGCACUGACUCUAAAAAGAUCUUGGAUCGGCAUUUAAAGUGCUAAUAAAAGGAAUGGCGGCGUUCUGCAUAUGUCUAUCAUUUCGACUGCUUUAGUUUUUCAUUAAUAAAUAUAUCGCUUGCGUGCGAAUGAUACUGCAUGGUCACAUGAUCAUCAACUUUGUCUUCUGAAGUAUCUAUGUUUUGGUACUAUGUUUGCAAAAACAUGUGCCCUGAACAAUUAAACAUGCAAUUCUAUACAUAUGAUUA